rnacentral:misc_RNA from 1 species
CAGGAAGGAGCUUCUCAGCAAGAGAGUCAUCUAGCUCUGGUAAAUCUCUGUAGAAAAGCUCUUUACACUCAACGACAAACUGAGCACGGACACCUCGGAGAUUUUCCUGUUCCCAUGUCUCCGGGAUUUGAAGUGGAAAUGACUUUGUUUCACCUUGUUGAAUUCCUUGUAUUGAGUCAAGGAACCCGGGAAGGAGGUUAUCACUUUCUUCUGUGUCCAGGUUAAAACCUUUUCUUUCUGUAAAUGGAAUCUUUUCACUCUUAGAUUCAUCAUCUGCAAUUGUCUUUCCAAAUAUAUCCAG